UUCUAUGGCGGGAUGCGCUGGGAGAUCGCGAGGUCUGCCGGUGUCCGAUUGAGCCGGUCUGCUAACCCAGUGCAUCCCGUCGCCAUC
rnacentral:antisense_RNA from 1 species